AAGGUAGUGGAGUAGCGGAAUAGGAUAGAGGAGUGGGGUAGAGGAGUAGUGGAAUAGGGUAGAAGAGUGGGUUAGCGGAGUAAGGUAGUGGAGUAGCGGAAUAGGAUAGAUGAGUGGGGUAGAGGAGUAGCGGAAUAGGAUAGAGGAGUGGGGUAGAGGAGUAGCGGAAUAGGAUAGAGGAGUGGGGUAGAGGAGUAGCGGAAUAGGAUAGAGGAGUGGGGUAGUGGAGUAGCGGAAUAGGAUAGAGGAGUGGGGUAGAGGAGUAGCGGAAUAGGAUAGAGGAGUGGGGUAGCGGAGUAAGGUAGUGGAGUAGCGGAAUAGGAUAGAGGAGUGGGGUAGAGGAGUAAGGUAGUGGAGUAGCGGAAUAGGAUAGAGGAGUGGGGUAGAGGAGUAAGGUAGUGGAGUAGCGGAAUAGGGUAGAGGAGUGGGGUAGAGGAGUAGCGGAAUAGGAUAGAGGAGUGGGGUAGAGGAGUAGCGGAAUAGGAUAGAGGAGUGGGGUAGAGGAGUAGCGGAAUAGGAUAGAGGAGUGGGGUAGAGGAGUGGGGUAGUGGAGUAAGGUAGAGGAGUAGCGGAAUAGGAUAGAGGAGUGGGGUAGCGAUCUAGCGGAGAGGGUGGUAGCAUCAUCAACAUCAUUCUCUUGGCGUGCGUCCCCUAUAUAGUUCCUAUGGGAUGCAGCCUUGGUAAAUUAACUGGUGAUUUGGGUGAUUUGGGUGAUGAUGUCCCUGUAGGAGAUUUGGGUGUCAUUGUUCUGGUGGAGGGAUUAGGGUGGCUUUACACCUCAGGCAGUGUGUGUGUGUGUGUGUGUGUGCGUGCGUGUGUGUGUGUGUGUGUGUGUGUGUGUGUGUGUGUGUGUGUGUGUGUGUGUGUGUGUGUGUGUGUGUGUGUGUGUGUGUGUGUGUGUCUAUAUGUGCGUGUGUGUGGGUGUGUGAAUGUUCUACAUAAUAUGAGUAAUUGUGUUUUCUAACAAGGCAGGGGUGAGAGCCAAAUAAAACAAGGUAACGAUAAACCUGUCGUCCCCCACGAAUCAUGCAGCCCCCCGAUAGUGCCGAUUUAAAUAUUGCAUGUGACUAAGAACAUUCAGUUAAUUACUGUAGGCUACCGCCAUGGGCCAAUCAGUGUAAUUUUGUAAAUGUUUUCUAUGGCAAGACGCGUUAUUCACCCAAGUAUCAUCAAAAUCGGACCAGUGCUGUUUGAGAUUUUGCGUGUGACGAACAUACAAACGUACAGACAGAGGAGAUCCACAGUCACCUCCGAUUUCAUUGUGGGGGACAAUACAAUGUACAAUAAUGGAGCUAUAUGCAGGGAGUACCAGUACGGGAUCAAUGUGCAGGGGUAUGAAGUAUUUGAAGUAGAUGUGUACAUGAAGGCAGGGUAACAUGGUAUCAGGAUAGACGACAAUAAGAGUAAACGUAGUCUUCCCUUGGGGUAAUCAGUGUAAUUUUACAUUUUCUGGAUCUCUAUGGCAAGACACAUCAUUCACCCAAGUAUCAUCAAAAUCGGACCAGUGGUGUCAUAUCCCUGAGCAUGUGUGCCAAAUUAUAGCACUCUGAGUCAAACAGAUCAAGAAAUAUAAACGUGUGCCCGUUAUAGCGCCACCGUGUGGUCGAUAUGAAUGUUAUUGCAUGUGUUGAGUCUUGACAGUGUUUGCAACUUG
ensembl:lncRNA